rnacentral:rRNA from 1 species
GGUUAAGUGACUAAGCGUACACGGUGGAUGCCUUGGCAAUCAGAGGCGAAGAAGGACGUGCUAAUCUGCGAUAAGCUUGGAAGAGUUGAUAAGAAACGUGAUAAUUCCAAGAUUUCCGAAUGGGGAAACCCAAUAGGUGAAGAACCUAUUAUCAAUGACUGAAUACAUAGGUCAUUGAAGCGAACCGGGAGAACUGAAACAUCUAAGUACCCCGAGGAAAAGAAAUCAACCGAGAUUCUGUGAGUAGCGGCGAGCGAAAGUGGAAGAGCCAGUUAGUUUUAGCAUUUGUAUUAAGAGAAUGAGUUGGGAAACUCAAUCA